AGCGAACGCUGGCGGCAGGCCUAACACAUGCAAGUCGAACGAACCUUUCGGGGUUAGUGGCGGACGGGUGAGUAACACGUGGGAACGUGCCUUUAGGUUCGGAAUAACUCAGGGAAACUUGUGCUAAUACCGAAUGUGCCCUUCGGGGGAAAGAUUUAUCGCCUUUAGAGCGGCCCGCGUCUGCUUAGCUAGUUGGUUGAGGUAAUGGCUCACCAAGGCGACGAUCAGUAGCUGGUCUGAGAGGAUGAUCAGCCACAUUGGGACUGAGACACGGCCCAAACUCCUACGGGAGGCAGCAGUGGGGAAUCUUGCGCAAUGGGCGAAAGCCUGACGCAGCCAUGCCGCGUGAAUGAUGAAGGUCUUAGGAUUGUAAAAUUCUUUCACCGGGGACGAUAAUGACGGUACCCGGAGAAGAAGCCCCGGCUAACUUCGUG
rnacentral:rRNA from 1 species